AUUAUCCUUAAAGUAUUAUUUAAGUUACUGUACCUGUUUUGUGCAAGAAAUGUUGCAUUUAAGCUUUUCUGAUGGAACUAACCAAACUGUCUUCUGAGUAAAUAUCUUGCUAAUAUAUUCUCCAGUUAAUUCUUGACCAGAUGUUAAUUGAGGCACAACAAGAUCGUUUCCAACACCCAUUAAUAUUUGAAACCUAGAGUUUAAGGGCCAUCGAUGUUAAUUCUGCAG